UACGUAGGUGGCAAGCGUUGUCCGGAAUUAUUGGGCGUAAAGCGCGCGCAGGCGGUCCUUUAAGUCUGUUGUGAAAGCUCACGGCUCAACCGUGGAGGGUCAUUGGAAACUGGGGGACGUGAGUACAGAAGAGAAGAGUGGAAUUCCACGUGUAGCGGUGAAAUGCGUAGAGAUGUGGAGGAACACCAGUGGCGAAGGCGACUCUUUGGUCUGUAACUGACGCUGAGGCGCGAAAGCGUGGGGAGCAAACAGG
rnacentral:rRNA from 1 species